UACUGCAGCUGCUCAUACAACACAAUCACACACAACACUGAUCAGUAGACAAACACAAAUUAAACACAACAUGAUUUUUCAAAAUAAACAGACAUUGUUUAAAAGUGAUUGUCACAUUUCAGGUAUAAUUUCUGUUUUUUAGAAGCAUCCCACAAUGCCAAGUGUAAAAAAUGGCAAACCAUGGCACAUAUUUUCACUUUAUUUUUAAAUGUUUAGUUUCAUUUUAGGUUAUUUUGGUCUGAUGUCUUCAGAGAAUUUUAUAAUUUAUUCAGAAUAGUCUUCGAUCCCCUACAAUAAUCUUGAGAUUCUUCUACAAUGCACUCUGAGUUCUGCAAGAGUCUAGAUGUUACUGAGUUCAUACUCAUGUACUCUGAUUUCAUUGAAAGCAGCUCCUUUGAGCCAGUGAGUUUGAGUAUAUUCUGAAAGACACUGAAUGCUUAUUGUCUUCCAACACUUGGCAUAAAAUAUCUUAAACUUCACAUGGAUAUCAAGUAUUGGCAUUUAUUGAUAUGUAUGCUAAAGAAUCACACUUAAAUGAGACAGUUUUGUGUUUUAUAGGUCUAUUUUCCAAUACAAAACAAAUGAGAAGUGUCAGGCUAAACUGAUGGCCAGUUUAAAUACAAGGAAUCAGGACCACCAGAGGAAAGACCGGGGGUGGGUCUCUGAAGUUGGUACAACAUGCGUGAUGAGCUCCAUCACACAGCACCGAUGGUGGAAAAGCGGCUAAUGAAUGGGCAUGUUGUUUGUGGCAGGCUUUUACAUUUGAAUAUAUGCAUUUGGACAAUAAUUGUGACAUUCUGCAACUUCAUUUUCCAAAUUUCUGAGGUUCCCGACUCUGUUAGUGUUUGUCCUGCUGAGCUCUCGACGGGCUACAGUGGGUGUCCUCCCUCAGGCAGGUUUGAUGAACUCAUGACGUCCAGAUGUUUACCAUCCGUCCACAGACCUCACGACUGAUGAGAUUCGUGUCCGCCCUAAUGUUUGGAAAAUUGGCUUUAUUGCAUUUGACGUCUCAGACUCUUCACAUCACACCUGAUAAAACAGAUGAUGCCAAUAAAUCAGACUUAAUGGGAGUAGUUCAUCAACUAGAAAUCCAUCAUUCACCUGUAUAAGAUCAUUUCCAGCAUCAUUUUCAUCAUCACUUCUCCUGUUGUCUUCUCUAAAAUGAGAGGAAGUGUUUUCACAUAUCUCUCUUUAUAGCAACAGCCGGGUGAUUCAAUUCCCAAAUCAUCUUCAUUGUGGGGACUCUGGCUCAGGAUGUCUUUUGAGAGCACUUUUACAUCAGGUCUGAGCUGCCUCAAGUUCUGGACUGUUCUAAGUCUCUACGCUGUAAGGUCAAUGCUUUCACAUUUUUAGUGUGAACUGCACAGCGUGUAGACUUCCAAAGCAAUACAUUGAAUAUAUAUAAUUAUUUUAGUGUGUCAUCAGCAAGAGUUGUGUGUUUGUAGACGGAUGAAAUCCAGAAUAAAGUCCUGAAGUCCAGACGAGGAUAAGAAUAAAGACUACUGUUACACUCAGCCUGCAGAAAUAUAUUUAACAAAUAAUAUAUUUUUUUUUUCUUGAUUUAUUGUACUGUUUGUUUUUGUCUUCUUCCUGAAUUAGUUUUAGAGAUUGAAGCCCAAACUUUGAAACACUAAAGUUUAUAAGUUUUUGGUUGUUAAAUUAUUUUCUCAUAUCCCAGUUAAAAUGCAGAGAUUACUUCAAGUAAGCCAUUUCAAGAAAGAAACUGAUAGCAAGAAAGAGCUGAACAGAGUCAAUGCACAAACUGUGUCUGGUGACAAUGAAAUGUGAUGAUGUAAACUGAGUAAAUUAUUAUAUAUAUUAUUAUUAUUAUUAUUAUUAUUUCUAUUUUUUUUAUUUUUUAUAUAUAUAUAUAUAUAUAUAUAAUUUUAGAAAAUAAGCACAUUGAACUUUUUUUGAGGAUACCAAAAUAGGAUGUAAUUUUUGUCGGCUUAUCUUUGAUGUGAUUUCGGUUGCUUCCAUAUCUUCCUGCAAGCUGUGAGGAUUCUAAUGUGUCUCUGUCUCUGAGCCUUUGCUUGUGUAUUUCAGUAUCACAGUGUGAAAGAAGCCUGGGCUUCAUGGGUUUCUCGGUUGUGUUCGAGCAGAAUAACUUAUUAUGUAAACACCAUGAGAGCAUCACACACAGCGGAGAUACACUGAUGAGCCAAACAUUAUGACCACCUGCCUGAUAUGCUGUUGGUCCCCCGUGUGCCACCAAAACAGCGCCGACCCGCCGAGGCAUGGACUCUACAAAACCCCUGAAGGCGUCCUGUGGUAUCUGGCACCAAGACAUUAGCAGCAGAUCCUUCAAGUCCUGUAAAUUGCAAGGUGGAGUCACCGUGGAUCGGACUUGUUGGUCUAGCACAUCUCACAGAACCUCAAUCGGAUUAAGAUCUGGGGAGUUUGGAGGCCAGGGCAACACCUUGAACUCUUCAUCAUGUUCCUCAAACCAUUCCCGAACAAUGUGUGCAGUGUGGCAGGGCACAUUAUCCUGCUGAAAGAGGCCACUGCCAUCAGGGAAUACCAAUGCCAUGAAGGGGUGUACCUGAUCUGCAACAAUGUUUAGGUGGUGGCACGUGUCAAACUGAUGUCCACAUGAAUGGCCGGACCCAGGGUUUCCCAGCAGAACAUUGCCCAGAGCAUCACACUCCCUCUACUGGCUUGUCAUCUUCCUGCAGUGCAACCUGGUGCCAUCACUUACCCAGUGAGCUUGGGGAGAGCAGUAUAUAAGGGACUACGCCACCGGCAAGAGGCAAGAGAGUCUGGGUCCAGAGCCCUAUUGUGAAGCUGAUGUGUUAUUGUGAAGCUCGUGUUUUAUUGUGAAGUUGUAAAGCUGACGUGUUAUUUUGAAGCUUUAAGCGCUGGAGUUUAUUCAUUAAAAACCCUUAC